UUCUAUCAUCCCGUUUCCUGCUUUGAUCGAGCAAAUGGCGACGAAUUCAAAACGAUGAGGCCGUGGGAAAUUCGAUUGAAAGGAACACGAAUCGAUCAUAAGGGGAAAAACGCAGAGGCAACAACAAAACGAAAUCGGAGGCAUAGUGGAUUUGGGGUUUCGGUCGUAGUGUGGUCGGGGAGAAUCACGAAGGAAUACACGAACAAGAGCUUGUAAGGGGCGAGGUUUUCAAUCUCCGAUGAGCAACUAGACUGAAGAACAAGGGAGAAGCAGCGAGAUGGGGCUGUUGCUCCGAUCGAAGCAGGUCAGGAGGUGGAGAGGUGCACCGUGGAUGGGUGCGAGAGCUGGUUCGUUUGAAGCAACAACAACCCCAGGAGGGUGUUCGACGGUGUUUGUUGAUGGGGGAAGGGGCAAAGGAGGGCAUCGAUCUCCAGUGGGCUCCCUUGGUGCGUUUGGUUCGUCUCUGGCAGUCUCAUUCGAGGAAGGAGUCUUCGGUUUCAUCUGUCCGAAAAAUGAACGGACCAAAUCAAAUCGACGGGGCAUGGCAGCUCUAGUCAGCAGGAAGACUAAGGAGGCGAUGGAGGAAGUUGAUGCCCGAUGGCUUCUGGGUUUCUCUUCUCCUGGUCCGAUCAAAAGCAAACGCGAAGGAAAUGGGAAACGUCUGGAUUGAAGAGCAAGGACGAAACAGCCCUUUGUGCCUUCAGAAUUUGGAAAGGCGGGUCGGGUUGCUUGAUCAUUUCAUGGUUGCAGAUCGAGAUCACGAUUAAGAUGGAAGUGAAAUUACUUAUUCGGGUUGCUUAGAAGACAAUGAUGAUGAUUUAAUCAGGAAUUCUUACUCGCUUACACCCGUGACGAUGGUGGCUAAUCUCAUCGACAACUAUCUUGCUGAGGUGGCAUCCGAUGUUAACUUAAAGCUCAAAAAGUUUCAAUCUUUGGUUGCUACUGUCACUGAUUUUGCAAGGUCAAUCGAUGAAGGAAUAUCUCAAGGCACAUCCAUGGCUGAUAGAUUCCAAUUGGGAGCUGCUCUGUCGAUUGAUGGCCUAUCAGAAACUGUCACUAGAAGCCAGCACACACGCCGCACAGAAUGAGAGACUGCCGCUCCGUUUCAUAGUUCAGGGUUCUCUUCUUCGAGAAGCUCCAGCUGCAGACAUUUGUUGCCGGCUGCUUUUAUGUCUCUUAAAAUUACAACUCACAGACAUACCUGAGCAGCAUGUGCUGCCGGAAAGUGGGAACGUGCACCUUUUUCCCUUCGUUUGGAUUGCAAGCCCAAGAGAAGAACACGAAAGGAAGAAGUGAGAAGAAGAAAUUGAGAAAAAGAAUGAACGAGGUGCGUUUUAGAGGCCUUGCAAUGGCGAAAGGACAAAAAUGCCCCUGGUAUGGGAGUUACUAACACCUAAACAGACGGAAAAGUUAAAAGAAGGACUGGGCGGGUAACAAAUUAAAGUUUUGGGGACGGUCCGAGUUAAAAAAUCUUUCUAGGGACCAAGCGUGCAAGUGACCACAAACCAUAGGGACCAUUCGUGUAAUUUUCUCUUUUUUUUAUUGUUCUGGAUCAAGAUUGAUUGGGCAAGAAGUUGAUAGAAAAAGAAAAUAUAUGUUUGGGUUUUGGUUGUUUGGCAGAAGUUACCCUGAUCAAUAGAGAAGGAAUGAGAGAAAGGGUGGGUUGUGGAGGUUGCGCAGUGGCCUUACAGUCGGUGGUUCUCAGGAAGCGAUAUGAAGAAGAACGGAGAUGGUAGCAGUGAAUCAACAAACAGGUAAAGAGGUUUUUUUUUGUUUUUGAUAAAUGUCGAUGUUGUAUUUGGGAUGUGUGUUUGUUGAUUGAGAUUGACAGGAAGAAUAUGAAGAAGAAUUGUGUAUGGGUUCAUUGACUGGGUACAAGGAAGGAAAAGGGAAGGAGUGAAGCAACGUCCAUCUCCAGCGACCAGCAAGAAGAGAAGGAACCGCUAGGGAACAGUGGUGUGAAGGAGUGCAUGCUUCAGUUAAGAAGUGAAAAAGAAACACGUUUCAGCUGGCUGUCCUUUUAUUUGUUUAUUUAUUUACUUAUUUAUUUAUUUGUAUUUAUGUAUAUGUAUGUAUCUGAUUUGUAUUAUGUAUUUGUUUUAUUAUGUAAUGCAUGUAUAAGUUGUAAUUAAUAAAUUUCUAUAUGUAUCACUACUAGAAA